GAUGAACGCUGGCGGCGUGCCUAAUACAUGCAAGUCGAGCGAACAGACGAGGAGCUAGCUCCUCUGACGUUAGCGGCGGACGGGUGAGUAACACGUGGAUAACCUACCUAUAAGACUGGGAUAACUUCGGGAAACCGGAGCUAAUACCGGAUAAUAUAUUGAACCGCAUGGUUCAAUAGUGAAAGACGGUUUUGCUGUCACUUAUAGAUGGAUCCGCGCCGCAUUAGCUAGUUGGUAAGGUAACGGCUUACCAAGGCAACGAUGCGUAGCCGACCUGAGAGGGUGAUCGGCCACACUGGAACUGAGACACGGUCCAGACUCCUACGGGAGGCAGCAGUAGGGAAUCUUCCGAAAUGGGCGAAAGCCUGACGGAGCAACGCCGCGUGAGUGAUGAAGGUCUUCGGAUCGUAAAACUCUGUUAUUAGGGAAGAACAAAUGUGUAAGUAACUAUGCACGUCUUGACGGUACCUAAUCAGAAAGCCACGGCUAACUACGUG
rnacentral:rRNA from 1 species